AAUUGCAAAAACGGGGGCUGCGCCCUGACGUCAUGCGGCCAUUUGGUUACAUCAUCACGGGCUGCCUACGUCAUUGUGGCAAAGUCGUUUCUCUUCGCCAAUCUACAAGCACUAAUUUUAGUUGGUAUUUCAAGGGAAGAUGGGCGAUUCCGAACAAUCCUCUGUCCCCAGCAAUGAAGGCAGCGAUGCUGAGGCCAGUGAGGACGACCAACAGCCCACCGCCGCGUAUGGUUGGGGCAGGGAGCCUAGAUACUCUGCUGAGGAGCUGCCAUCGCGUGUAACAAAUGUUGAGGAAGAAGAUGCUUCAGCAGCUGCGUCCGACAGAAGACGAGUAGCUUGGCCACCAGAAUCUCGAUUCGUUUGGGACUCCGACUGGUGCGAGCGUGGACAAAAGUGUAUAGCCAUGCCCAGCCCGCGGGAAUGAUUUUGCUGGUAGGAUGCUGCCGUCGCUGUCGACAAGACGGCCCAAGGUUUCUUGCGUAGCGGACCUCGCAGAUUACGAGAUCGGAUCCUUGCAUUAGGCUGUGCCCAUCACUGCUCUUCGAGGUUAUCUCGACAUGCAGAAGCCGCCAAUGCCAGUGACAGAAGAGUCUGACAUUAGAUCUCUACGCUAUGCGGCACACAGGCAGUACACACUAUGUACACGGCAAAUUGGGCAAGCACGUUCGUUGUCGUCUUCCAGCCUGCGUUGUGAAUACCAUCAGGCAAAGAUAUCCAAAUCCUGCACCACCUCAGCCUUCUCAGGAGGCUUCCACCUGGAAUUUGGCAGGGAAACAUGCUUCUCCAAGGCAGGAACAUCGAGGUUGCCAUUUGCAACCGCUACCACCUCACACAUGAGCUUGUCAACAUACUCAUAGCUCUUUCUGUCGUAUAAUUUUCUAUUUGGCCACAGUCUUCUUUAUGCUUUGAGAACUGGACUUUAUACCUUCC